UUAUUUUACUCUUUAUUUCCUUCGGAUGC
rnacentral:piRNA from 1 species